AUGUGGAAGCAGCAGCAGGAGGCGAAUGCUCACGGGUAUCCCCGUCAGUGGCAGCCACUGCUGCACAAACGGCAUGGGCCUGCAGCAGGGCAGGGCUAUGGCCUAACACCCCAUCCAGCCGCAUGGGGUGUGCCGCUCUGCACUGCAACCCAGCCGUCAUGGAAGCACCUGGAGCACUCUGAGACAGAGGAGCUCAUCAAGGUGCAGGUAGGACAUGGGGGCAAAACCUGCAGCGACCUGUUGGCAGGCCUGGGCCCCUAUCUGCGGGAGAACAAGUCCAUCAAGACCUCCUCGAGAACCUCCAAGGGGAUAAGAGACCGCCAGGAGCCGCAGGGAAUUCCCUGGCCAGCCAAGCAAACUGUGGGUCGCAAGCAGCUGUGCACAGAGGAUGAUGAGGCUACGAUGCAUCGUCUACGGAAAAUGAGGGAGGAGCUCCAGGAGACAGAAGACAAAGUCUAUGAUGAGAUGUUUAGAGCCGUCUUUUCCGCACUGGACAAGAAAGAAAGCCCCAUGAGGUCCAGCAGUAUCCUCAGAGAUCCACCGAGCCCCAUCCUGGAGCCUGCUGCAGGCCAUUUGGAGAGGCACAGCGCAUUCUGUGUGACCAACGAUGCUGCAGGAGAGGCACCAAAGCACUCGGAGUUUGUGUCUCUUGACCAUUUGUUGGCCGAGCUGUGCCCUGUCUCUCAGGACUCGCUGUCCAGUGAUGCUCUCGUAAAGGAGCUCGUGGAAAACUGGGAGCAAGAGGAGCUCCCUGACAGAGAAGUGGCAGGAGAGAGGGACAGAGAGCCAGAGAGUGCCUUGUUUCUCCCUCCGCAAGACAAAGAAGGAUGUGUCCGCUGGGACGUGUCAAGUGUCACCCCAGAACUUGCUGAAGGCUCACAGGGGCUCUGCAGCAUUUUGGGCCUGACCAAAGACUCAGUGGGAGAGACAGACACAGAGACGGCACCUCCUGACCGGCUGGCACACCUGCGCUCUGCCUCUGGCCACGAACCCUCCUGCGACGCUCUUCUACACGAGAGCCUGGAAAGCUGGGAGGAAGGAAAGCUCCUUGGCAGAGCAGCAGCAGUAGAGAAGGACAGCGAGCUAGAGAGCCCAUUGUCUCUCCCACCGGAAGAAGAAGACGAAGAGCCAGCACCUUCUUCUCAGGAGAGCAAUCCCUGCGGCAAGGGGCACAGCGAGCCUGUUCCCAGGGCGCUGCCCGAAGAGCCAAAGGGGUUCAGGGUUUGCGCCUCGCCUGCCGAUGCCGCGGAGGAGGCCGGUGCAGCAGGCAUGGAGGCUGGCUGUGCCCGGGCUGCCCCUCCCCAGGAAAAGCCCUGUGGGGAUGAGCCGCCAGCAGGGCCGUGCCCGGUGCCUGCCCAGCCCCUGGCACGCAGCGUUCCAGCCUGCCCCGCUGGCAGCGCAGCCGUCCCGCAGCCCCCGGCCCCACGGCGAUGGCGCUCCAUGGCCAAGAGGGCCCGGCGGGCUCUGCGCCGCCUUUUCUCCUUCAGCUGCCUCUGCGGGCAGCCGGAGCAGUGA
rnacentral:lncRNA from 1 species